rnacentral:rRNA from 1 species
AAUCAACGCUGGCGGCGUGCCUCAGACAUGCAAGUCGAACGAUUAAAGCUCUCUUCGGAGAGUGCAUAGAGUGGCGCACGGGUGAGUAACACGUAAGUAAUCUACCCUCGAGUGGGGAAUAACGUCCGGAAACGGACGCUACUACCGCAUAAUGCAGCGGCACCGCAAGGUGACAGUUGUUAAAGAUUUAUCGCUUGAGGAGGAGCUUGCGGCAGAUUAGCUAGUUGGUAAGGUAAUGGCUUACCAAGGCUACGAUCUGUAACCGGUCUAAGAGGACGGUCGGUCACACUGACACUGAAUAACGGGUCAGACUCCUACGGGAGGCAGCAGUCGGGAAUUUUGGGCAAUGGGCGAAAGCCUGACCCAGCAACGCCGCGUGAAGGAUGAAGUAUUUCGGUAUGUAAACUUCGAAAGAAUAGGAAGAAUUAAUGACGGUACUAUUUAUAAGGUCCGGCUAACUACGUGCCAGCCGCCGCAGUAAUAC